rnacentral:rRNA from 1 species
UUGAUCCUGGCUCAGGAUGAACGCUAGCUACAGGCUUAACACAUGCAAGUCGAGGGGUAGCAGGGUAGCAAUACCGCUGACGACCGGCGCACGGGUGAGUAACACGUAUCCAACCUUCCCUUUACUCUGGGAUAGCCUUUCGAAAGAAAGAUUAAUACCGGAUAGUACAAUGAAUAGGCAUCUAUUUAUUGUUAAAGAUUUAUUGGUAAUGGAUGGGGAUGCGUUCCAUUAGAUUGUUGGUGAGGUAACGGCUCACCAAGUCUUCGAUGGAUAGGGGUUCUGAGAGGAAGGUCCCCCACAUUGGUACUGAGACACGGACCAAACUCCUACGGGAGGCAGCAGUGAGGAAUAUUGGUCAAUGGGCGAGAGCCUGAACCAGCCAAGUAGCGUGAAGGAUGAAGGUCCUAUGGAUUGUAAACUUCUUUUAUAGUAGAAUAAAGUGAGCCACGUGUGGUUUUUUGUAUGUAUACUAUGAAUAAGGAUCGGCUAACUCCGUGCCAGCAGCCGCGGUAAUACGGAGGAUCCGAGCGUUAUCCGGAUUUAUUGGGUUUAAAGGGUGCGUAGGCGGAAUAAUAAGUCAGUUGUGAAAGUUUGCGGCUCAACCGUAAAAUUGCAGUUGAUACUGUUAUUCUUGAGUGUACAUAAGGUAGGCGGAAUUCGUGGUGUAGCGGUGAAAUGCUUAGAUAUCACGAAGAACUCCAAUUGCGAAGGCAGCUUACCGGGGUACAACUGACGCUGAGGCACGAAAGUGUGGGUAUCAAACAGGAUUAGAUACCCUGGUAGUC